AACGCUAGCUACAGGCUUAACACAUGCAAGUCGAGGGGAAACGAUAGAGAAAGCUUGCUUUUUCUAGGCGUCGACCGGCGCACGGGUGAGUAACGCGUAUCCAACCUGCCCACCACUUGGGGAUAACCUUGCGAAAGUAAGACUAAUACCCAAUGAUAUCUCUAGAAGACAUCUGAAAGGGAUUAAAGAUUUAUCGGUGAUGGAUGGGGAUGCGUCUGAUUAGCUUGUUGGCGGGGUAACGGCCCACCAAGGCUACGAUCAGUAGGGGUUCUGAGAGGAAGGUCCCCCACAUUGGAACUGAGACACGGUCCAAACUCCUACGGGAGGCAGCAGUGAGGAAUAUUGGUCAAUGGGCGAGAGCCUGAACCAGCCAAGUAGCGUGCAGGAUGACGGCCCUAUGGGUUGUAAACUGCUUUUAUAAGGGAAUAAAGUGAGCCUCGUGAGGCUUUUUGCAUGUACCUUAUGAAUAAGGACCGGCUAAUUCCGUGCCAGCAGCCGCGGUAAUACGGAAGGUCCGGGCGUUAUCCGGAUUUAUUGGGUUUAAAGGGAGCGUAGGCCGGAGAUUAAGCGUGUUGUGAAAUGUAGACGCUCAACGUCUGCACUGCAGCGCGAACUGGUUUCCUUGAGUACGCACAAAGUGGGCGGAAUUCGUGGUGUAGCGGUGAAAUGCUUAGAUAUCACGAAGAACUCCGAUUG
rnacentral:rRNA from 1 species